UCCCAUGUACUAAAUAAGAAAGGGAUAAAGAGUUGGCUUACAAUCGCCACUUCACACAAUACAUAAAUAAAGCAUUAAAUCAACCAGAAUACAAUCAAUGUCCGACUACGGAACCAAAUAAAGAAAGACAACCCCUAAUGCUAGAUCCCCGAUCGCCCCGACUGGGCUCCACUACUGAUCAACUGGAAAUGAAACAACACAACGAACAUGAUCUUCAUCGAGCUCCCAUCUGAGCUGGGUUGCGUCACCUGUACUGGUAUCAUCGGCACCUGCAACUGUUUGGAAGUAUCGGUGAGCCACGAGGACUCAACAAUCUCACACCCGCGAGAUCAAGACUAUUUAAGCUUAAAGGUAGGACAGGGUAGUGAGGUGGAGCUGCAGCAAGCACUAGCAUAUAUGGUGGCUAACUUACGCAAAUGAGAGCGAGAAGAGAAGCAAAGCACGGUCGUGAACUAGAAGUGAUCAAGAAGUGAUCCUGAAGCUACUUACGCACAACCAUAACACAAGAACCGUGUUCACUUCCCGGACUCCAUCGAGAAGAGACCAUCACGGCUACACACGCGGUUGAUGCAUUUUAAUUAAGUCAAGUGUCAAGUUCUCUACAACCGGACAUUAACAAAUUCCCACCUGCCACAUAACCGCGGGCACGGCUCUCGAAAGUUUAUACCCUGCAGGGGUGUCCCAACUUAGCCCAUCACAAGCUCUCACGGUCAACGAAGGAUAUUCCUUCUCCCGGGAAGACCCGACCAGUCUCGGAAUCCCGGUUACAAGACAUUUCGACAAUGGUAAAACAAGACCAGCAAGACCACCCGACUGUGCCGACAAAUCCCGAUAGGAGCUGCACAUAUCUCGUUCUCAGGGCACACCGGAUGAGACAUCCUACGAGUAAAACCAAGCCUCAAGUUUCCCCGAGGUGGCCCCGCAGUCUACUCGGUUCGAACCAGCACUCAGAGGAGCACUGGCCCGGGGGGUUAAAAUAAAGAUGACCCUUGAGUCUGCAGAACCCAAGGGGAAAAGGCUUAGGUGGCAAAUGUUAAAACCAAGGUUGGGCCUUGCUGGAGGAGUUUUAUUCAAAGCGAACUGUCAAGGGGGUCCCAUAAAUCACCCAACCGCGUAAGGAACGCAAAAUCAAGGAACAUAACACCGGUAUGACGGAAACUAGGGCGACAAGAGUGGAAUAAAACACCAGGCAUAAGGCCGAGCCUUCCACCCUUUACCAAGUAUAUAGAUGCAUUAAUUAAAUAAGAGAUAUUGUGAUAUCCCAAAAUAUCCAUGUUCCAACAUGGAACCAACUCAUCUUCACUUGCAACUAGCAACGCUAUAAAAGGGGCUGAGUAAAAGCGAUAACUUAGCCAAACAACGGUUUGCUAGGAAAGGAUGGUUAGAGGCUUGACAUGGCAAUAUGGGAGGCAUGAUAUAGCAAGUGGUAGGUAUCGCGGCAUAGGAAAAGAGCGAGCAACUAGCAAGCAAAGAUAGAAGUGAUUUCGAGGGUAUGGUCAUCUUGCCUGAGAUCCCGCAAGGAAGAAGAAUGAGUCCAUGAAGAAGACAAACGGACGUAGUCGAACGAAUCCUCACAACUCCGGAACGAAACCGAAGCUAACGAGAGAAGCAACCCGGAAACAAACAAACAACAUGGUAAACCAACAAGCACAAACAUGGCAUGAUGCACAACCAAGUAUGAUGCAUGUCCGGUUUAAAUAGCAUGGCAUGGCAAUAUGCACAAACAAAACUACAAGUUAAAUGGAGCACAAUAUGCAACGAGUUGCAUAUUAACGGAACACCACAUCAAUUAUUUAGUUCUCUCUCGUUUAUGUACCCAACAAUAUUAAAUGUGGUUAAGCAUGGCAAGAGGUGAAUCAUAAGUAAACUAACUAUUUAGGCAAGUUAAAUGAGGUCGGAAAUAACAAACAACAAUUCCGGAAAAUCCCCAUAUGCAUAUAGCAAUUUAAAGCAAACAACAAUUUUAAACGUUGUUAACAUGAUGCGGAUGACAUAUGCAAGUUUAUGCAAUUUAAAGAAAAUAUUGACUUGAGCAUGUUAUGGAGCAUUUGUCACCGUGGUGGAAGAAAGGGGUGCCACGACAACGAAUCCGAAAAUGAUGCCACGGCAACAUAUCGGUUCCGGUAACUCAUGGAGAUACCGGUGCAAAAGUGAGUGUGGCGGGAGCAUGUCAAGCAAGGAUGGUGGGGUGUUCCCGGUUACCGGGUUCCCAUGCGCUGAUGGCAAGGCAACGAGUGACAAUUCGGACACGGUGCAAACGGUGCAUCUCAUACAACACAUGCAUUCGGUUCACGGCGGUCGUCGUCGCGGCGGGUCAUCGUUUCGGCGGUUAUACCUUCGAAGCGUGCGUUUAGGAGCGGGUCAAGUUCAACGAAGGAAGUAGUGGUACACGGGCCGUAGUGGAAGUAGUCGUUCUUGCGGCGGUAGUGGAAGUAGUAGUUCACGGACGUCGUGGAAGUAGUCGUUCACGGCGACGAUAGAGGUACUCGCGAUCUUGGCGACGGUAGUGGUACAUCUCGUAGUGGAACUUGUUGCAUCCACGGUAUUCGGGCGUAGUUGUACAAGCGC
rnacentral:lncRNA from 1 species